AGUGAACGCUGGCGGUAGGCCUAACACAUGCAAGUCGAACGAGUGGCGGACGGGUGAGGUAUACAUCUGAAUCUCCUCUGUCGUGGGGGAUAACGUAGGGAACCUUACGUUAAUACCGCAUACGAUGGAAUGAGCCGAUGUCGGAGUAGCUAGUUGGCGGGGUAAAGGCCCACCACGGCGACGAUCCGUAGCUGGUCUGCGAGGAUGAUCAGCCACACGGGAGCGGAGACACGGUCCAGACUCCUACGGGAGGCAGCAGUGGGGAAUAUUGGACAAUGGGCGCAAGCCUGAUCCAGCCAUACCGCGUGGGUGAAGAAGGCCUUCGGGUUGUAAAGCCCUUUUGUUGGGAAAGCGGUACCCAAAGAAUAAGCACCGGCUAACUUCGUGCCAGCAGCCGCGGUAAUUC
rnacentral:rRNA from 1 species